AAAAAGGAAGAAAAUUAUUACAAAAAAGCGAUGCAACGUCAAAUCAGUCAAGAAGAAAAAGAUCAAGUGAAAUAUUACGAAAACUUGUUAACUAAAAUUAAAUCUCUGAAUUGUAAGUG